UUUUGUAAGGAGCUUUCCUGCUACUUCACUCUGCACUUCUCCUUGCUGCCACCAUGCGAAGAAGGAUGUGUUUGGUUCCCCUUCUGCUGUGAUCGUAAGUUUCCCAAGGUCUCUCCAGCCCUGCGGAACUUUCACAGGUGGCAGAUGGAUGGCACAGAUGGAGCCAAAACAGAGGCUUUUCUGCCCUGAAGAGCCACUAGAAUCUGUGGUCCUGGAUGACUGACAGUGGCACUCGGUGUCAAGUAGGAGUCCAGGGUGGGCAGGCUGUCCUGCAAACACUGCCUUCCCCUGGGAAACGUGGCCAUAGGAGGUUGUGGUGCCCACUCCAGCAAGAACAUGCUGCUUGGCCAUCCGUCGCUGGGCCUGUACUCUGGGGGCGCUAAUUUUGUGGGGAUGGGCCUGGGGCUGUGGGAUAAACAGUGUCCUGAGCGACCCCCUGAAACCUCUGAAAUAUUAGAACAGGAAAACAGCAGGCUAAGUGUUUCUUUUCUGCAGCCUCUGGGCCACAGUUACCAAGCUUUAGAGAUGACAGCUGCAGCUGCCAGUGCCCUGGGGCUCUGAGCAGAACCUCCACUGCAGAAACUAAGCAGGAUCAAAGGAGGAAAGAAAGGGGCUCACCUGCAAAGUCAAGUUUCAGGACUUUACUUUUUCUGAGUUACUCCAGGUGGAUGAGACUUUUCCAUAUACAGGGAUAGGCUUUGUACGGUUCCAUUUUGGGUCAGUGGAAGAAUUUUCACAACACAAAUGGCAUUAUAAAGUUGUCUUCUCUGGCCUGGUACUGGGGACCACUGGUCAAAGAUAAGGCGAGACAUUGCGGGGGCUUCCUGGAGCUGCAGCAACCACAGCAGAGAACCUGCAAUGAAUUUUUUUCUGGGAGAACAUAGUAGAGGAGUAAGACAACAUUUAUCCUAGCUUCAGAUAGGAUCCUCUUCCAUCUAGGCAGAUGGGAUCCAAGAGACAGGAGGGAUCCUGGAGAGAGGUGACAGAAGAGGGUGACACAGGCUUGGUGUAUUGGAUCAGCUGCAGCUGCUGCUCCCUGGAGCGGCAGGCAGCAGCCUGGCACCCCUGCAAACAGACAGUCCUUACCCAGCCACACUGAACUCAGGGAAGGGAAAGAGGGAUGUGCCCACGUUACACACACACACACACACACACACACACACACAAUCUUAACCCUUACCUUUGCCACAAAAAAUGCUACCACUUAAUUACUCAGAACUCAAUAGUGUUUUUUGGCUAUUUUAUUUUUAGCCCUUGGAAGCUUGUUUCAAGAAAAAGACACCAUAUCAUAAACAUCAGAUAUCAGUUCACUGACAUGAAGUUAUUAACCAUACAACUUUCAAAUGGAAUCUCAAGUACUUCCAGUAAACAUUCAGUUAAGAUUUUGACAAGUAUUUUCAUCCUGCAAUCCGUCUUAUACUGUCAAAAAAAUGUCUGACUAUAAUGUAAUAGAACUGAGGUUUUAA